AUUGAACGCUGGCGGCAGGCUUAACACAUGCAAGUCGAGCGGAGAUGAGGUGCUUGCACCUUAUCUUAGCGGCGGACGGGUGAGUAAUGCUUAGGAAUCUGCCUAUUAGUGGGGGACAACAUUCCGAAAGGAAUGCUAAUACCGCAUACGUCCUACUGGAAAAAGCAGGGGAUCUUCGGACCUUGCGCUGAUAGAUGAGCCUAAGUCGGAUUAGCUAGUUGGUGGGGUAAAGGCCUACCAAGGCGACGAUCUGUAGCGGGUCUGAGAGGAUGAUCCGCCACACUGGGACUGAGACACGGCCCAGACUCCUACGGGAGGCAGCAGUGGGGAAUAUUGGACAAUGGGGGGAACCCUGAUCCAGCCAUGCCGCGUGUGUGAAGAAGGCCUUAUGGUUGUAAAGCACUUUAAGCGAGGAGGAGGCUACUGGGACUAAUACUCUUGGAUAGUGGACGUUACUCGCAGAAUAAGCACCGGCUAACUCUGUGCCAGCAGCCGCAGUAAUAC
rnacentral:rRNA from 1 species